rnacentral:tRNA from 1 species
UAAGUUAUAGCUUAAAGGGAAGCAUCUCGUUUACAUUGAGAAGAUCACUAAAUCUAGUGUAAUUUAAAA